UACGGGGGGGGCAAGCGUUGUUCGGAAUUACUGGGCGUAAAGGGCUCGUAGGCGGUCUACUAAGUCGGACGUGAAAUCCCUCAGCUUAACUGGGGAACUGCGUCUGAUACUGGAUGGCUUGGAUUUGGGAGAGGGAUGCGGAAUUCCAGGUGUAGCGGUGAAAUGCGUAGAUAUCUGGAGGAACACCGGUGGCGAAGGCGGCAUCCUGGACCGACAUUGACGCUGAGGAGCGAAAGCCAGGGGAGCAAACGGG
rnacentral:rRNA from 1 species